CAUAUAGCCAGUCUUUUUUUGGGUGUGUGUGUGUGUGUCUCACUAUAUAGCCAGUCUUCAGGGGAAGUGUCACUAUAUAGCCAGUCUUCCGGGGAAGACAUACCUUCAAAUAUUCAUUAAAGCCCCAUACGACCCGAAAACUCCCAGCUUCAAAUGAAUUCGUGUGUUGACGUAGCCAUGUUAGGUAACCGGGUCAUUCCGAACCCCGGUUGAUUUCCAUACUUGCACAAUAACGUCUAGAUGUGAACUAAUAUCCCCACAAAUAUUUUCAAUAAUAUAUCAUUCGAGUUCCUUUAAAUAAUGAUUACUCAAAUAGCUAAACUCACGGCAAUGCGGCUUUCAUUAGUCUGGUUCGGUCUCCAUCCCUUUCACACGAGUGUUAAGGACUUUUGUAGCAUUAUCAUUGACCAAGAGCUUAUUUUACCUUUAGAAAAACUUUAUUUUUUAAUUUCUAUAAAUUAUUCGUGUUGAUAAUAAAUGAAGAGCAAACAUAAAACUUAUAACGAAUUUUAUGAAUAUAUACCAACAACAACAGGGUUCGAAUUGACCCGGCUACCUAACAUGGCUACGUCAACAAACGAAAUUAUUCGAAGAUGGGAGUUUUCGGGUCUUAUGGGGCUUUAAUGAACAUUUGAAGGUAUGUUUGGACACAACUACAGUAGGGAAAUAUGUUAAGAAUUUUUUUAUAUUAAAUUUAUGAGACAGCAACACAAGAAUACAACGAUAUCAUGUCUCAACCGUGCGCAACUUUUUGUGCGCCGUAAAUCGAAGGUUUAUAAUAGGGGUGGAACUAUAGCUCUCUGUUCCGUCAAAAUAUUUUUUCAGAGAGCUACAGUUCUGCAGCUAACGUGUUUCAUACCGAUUGUUAGGCCCUUCUUGACACAAUGAUUUUGACUACAGAUUACUCUGUUUACCUGAGCACGAUAUAGGGUUCAUGACGGGUGUGACCGAUCGAUAGGGGAUGCUUACUCCUCCUCGGCACCUUAUCCCACUCUGGUAUUGCCCAAUUCUCUAUUUUGUAUUCCUUUUAGGAGUUAUAAGAUUGAUCACUGUUCAUUAUCUUCACCGUUCAUGUCAAUUUAAAGGUGUCGUCCCUCACAUAAACUGAACAGGAAUAAUGAAGAGUUCGGGGUUGGGGGAUAACUCCAAUGUCUAACGUCACCAGCAAUAGGUGAAGUACCACAAAUUUAGAUCUAUGCCUAGCACUCAGGGUUGUAGCAGUGAGGGUUCUUUAUCGUACCAACGCCUACCGCGACACGGGACCUCCGUUUUAAAGGUCAUAUAAAAAAGACACGUGGUUCUCACCUCUAAAUGCCGAGCGGUUGGCGAAGGAACAAUCACAACCUAUAUUAAGGUAGGUUACUACACUAAAGCUUAUACUCUUUAUGACACCACGUCACAAGAUGGCGAUUUAAUUGUUAUGUGAAAUUAUUUGUAUCGAUCGAUUUGUUUGUCUGUCAUCGUGGCUCAGUGGUUACUAGUAAAGCAUUGGGCUGGUGAACCACAUAUCUCGAGUUCAAAUCCGCCAGUCUUUUGUUCAUAUCACAGGGGCUAAGCCCGUUUUGGGCCCGAACUCUGUGAUACCAUAAAUAUAGAAAGGGGUCUAACUCUGGCCAAGAUAAAAAAAAACACUAACCACUCGCUUCAAAUGCCUUAAAAUCUUAAACUAGGUACGCUAUGCGUAAUUUGUAGUUUUCCUUGCAUAGAUUAAUGUUUUAACUACUUGCAUGCCAAAUUUCAAGUCACAGGUUCUUAGAAUAACAGAUAUACGUCAUUGUUCUCUCGAUUUCACUUGUUUAUUUUUACUAGGACAUUUACCGGUCCAGGUCACGGAGUCCUUUCUCGCCUAUGAUAUUCAACUUACCUUUGAAUGGUGUCCAUUGAGUGUUUCCCUUAUCCCCAAUUGGAGAUCUUCGAUCCAACUCUCCUGAGAAAUAUCAAAUUAUUCUCAUGCAUGAAAUCGGAUUUAACACCGCUUUUCUCCUUGGAAAUUUAUACCAAUAACAGGUCAUUUUGAGCAAUGAAUGAAGUUACCUGUAGUUGAUUCAAGAUUUCCAAUAUUUCGGCUUGGGCAUCACUGAAGAGACAUUAUUUGUCGAAAUGUGCAUCUGGUGCAUCAAAAUUGGUAUCGUAUAAGUUUUACAAUACGACCCCUGGAUCGAGGCCUCUGCUGGUGGACUGUUAGUCCUCGAGUGUCUCUACAGCCCAGUAGCUAAGUACUUCGGUACUAGCUUGAAAAUACGGAUGUCUAUUUAUUUUCUGUGACAGAAUUUAGAAAUUCCUUUUCAAAUUAAGGAUUAUCUCGAGACCUCAUGCUUAGACGAAUUUGACUCCAGUCUUUGGCACUCUUUUUUUUUGUUUUUUGUUUUUGUUACAAGUUUAUUGUUAUUUCGGAUUUCCAAUAUUUCGGCUUGAGCAUCACUGAAGAGGCAUUAUUUGUCGAAAUGUGCAUCUGGUGCAUCAAAAUUGGUAUCGUAUAAGUUUUACAAUACGACCCCUGGAUCGAGGCCUCUGCUGGUGGACUGUUAGUCCUCGAGUGUCUCUACAGCCCAGUAGCUAAGUACUUCGGUACUAGCUUGAAAAUACGGAUGUCUAUUUAUUUUCUGUGACAGAAUUUAGAAAUUCCUUUUCAAAUUAAGGAUUAUCUCGAGACCUCAUGCUGAGACGAAUUUGACUCCAGUCUUUGGCAUUCUUUUUUUUUGUUUUUGUUUUUGUUACAAGUUUAUUGUUAUUUCGGAUUUCCAAUAUUUCGGCUUGAGCAUUAUUUGUCGAAAUGCGCAUCUGGUGCAUCAAAAUUGGUACCGUAUGUUUUAUGUCAAUUUUAUGUUUGAUUUAUUUAUAUGUUGCAUUUCUUAUGUUUUCAUCAUUGAAUAAAUGUUACAAAAUUG